rnacentral:rRNA from 1 species
CUACUCUUGACAUCCAGAGAAUUCGCUAGAGAUAGCUUAGUGCCUUCGGGAACUCUGAGACAGGUGCUGCAUGGCUGUCGUCAGCUCGUGUUGUGAAAUGUUGGGUUAAGUCCCGCAACGAGCGCAACCCUUAUCCUUGUUUGCCAGCACGUAAUGGUGGGAACUCCAGGGAGACUGCCGGUGAUAAACCGGAGGAAGGUGGGGACGACGUCAAGUCAUCAUGGCCCUUACGAGUAGGGCUACACACGUGCUACAAUGGCGUAUACAGAGGGGCUGCAAGCUAGCGAUAGUGAGCGAAUCCCACAAAGUACGUCGUAGUCCGGAUUGGAGUCUGCAACUCGACUCCAUGAAGUCGGAAUCGCUAGUAAUCGUGAAUCAGAAUGUCACGGUGAAUACGUUCCC